UAUAGAGGGCUAAAAGUUGUACAAAAUAACUUUUCUUUAGCAUUUAUCAGUAUUCGUGAUAAAUCAUGAACACAAAAGCCAAUUUAUAACAAAGAAAGAGCUGUCUGUGUCUUUAUAAGUUAAGAUGGAUUUGUUGCAAGAAAUGUCAUUUUGUUUAUUUUGGCCUCUCUUCUUCCUCCAUCACGGCACUCGACGUAUAGUGAAGCAGGAAUAUGGUGCAAAUAGUAGAAGGCCAAUUUGCCGUCUGAGGGCCACCACAGUUGUGAAGAGCAGUAGGCAGACGUCCUCGGCAGAGUAAUGGCUGGAGGGGUGAACCCAUGGUGGCUCAGCCCAUCCAUCGAGGGGGCAGCAGGAGAGAGGCCACCCCGGUAAUUACUGCAGAAAUGUUGUUGUGACAGGGCCGCGUGUGAGUGAGAGAUAGAGAGACAGAGAGAUUCUUAGGGAAGUGUUGUUUUUUGACAAGACUGCGAGGACGGCUCGAAGCCAUUCGUCCUGCCACAACACUGAUUAGGUGACACCAGGUGUGUAUCUGUGAGGGAACAACACGGAGAGGAGAGGGAGAGCACUUCAUGAAAAGACCCGCUGUUUGCACUCUGUCUAAUGACCCACUUCUAGACCCAGCCAGACCAUCGUCUUCAUCUCCACGUCCCUCUACACUUGUAAUACACUCCUCCAUCAAAGCAGUUCUUCUGAUAUCGUCCCCCUCACUUACUUGUCCCUCUUUGCUCCACUUCUGCUCCUCUUUUUCUUUCUUUUCUUUCCCAUCCCCUUUUCAGUCAAAAUAUGUUUUGUUGCUCGGUGAGGCAAUGAUUCCUUACCCAGCAUCAUUCGUGAAUACUCUCUCUCUCUCUUUCUUUCUCUCUCUCUUUCACUUUCUCUCUCGCUCCCUCUCUCUGUCUGCCUCGCUCCAUCUCUCCAUAUGGGGCAUGUCAUUUAACAUGCUUCCAGUCACCUCGCACAGUCAGGAAGCUCAUCCAACCAGUCAUUCUCAAUGCCCAUUGUUCCUAAAUGAGGGCCAUAUGCGCUGUGGCCAGCACUGGUCAUGAAGACACAUGCACACACAUGCCAGUGGUGAAACCUGUGUGUGUGUGUGUGUGUGUGUGUGUGUGUGUGUGUUCUCUGCACCAUGCAUGUGUAUGAACAAUUAUUGUGUGUGUCGUUUUAUGAGUGAUUAUAUGUUAGUGUCUGUGUCUAGUGUAUGUGGGCCUGUAUGUGUGUGUGUGUGUGUGUGUGUGUGUGUGUGUGUGUGUGUGUGUGCGUGCGUGCGUGCGUGUGUGCGUGUGCGUGCGUGCUCCUUCAGCCACAGAAUGGUGCGGCGGAUGGAAUGUGUGUUUCUCGGCAGGGCCAGUUCGGCCAUUAUUAUUAAACAUCUGUCCGCAGCACAUUAA